rnacentral:lncRNA from 1 species
GGGACGCAACUAUGAAGAAUGUGGGCAUUAGCCUAACGUUGACAUUUUUCAAGGGGCAGAAGUUGGGUCAUGGGUUUUAUUCCCAUUGCAAGCAAUGGAGCUUUAUUUUCUUCAACAUUUUUAAGGGGGCAAAUGCCCCUUAGGGGCCCUUGCUAGCUUUGCCCAUGAUGCCAACAAACUAAUAUUCCUUUUCUUUUUAUUUUUCUCCUUUUGUGAGUCAAG